GCUGGGUGAGAUGGCACUGUGUGCAAAAAAGCGACCCCCAGGUAAGAAAGGCAAGAAGUGGGAAUCCCUGGGAAUUUAGACAAGAGUGAGUGUUAUUAUGGCUCAGGGAGUCAGGAGAAGAGGGACAGCUGGCAUGGAUCUGGGAAAGGGGAGAUCAAGAUCCCUACGCAUCCCGGGAAGAGCCUAGGAAACACAAUUUUUUCGUUUGAUGCUUGAGCUGGGUUCUCUGCUGGGAUAGUGCUGAGUACCAGCCCCCACCCCACCCCCGCCCCGAAACACCUGCUCUCUUUUCUUGGGGCACCUGCAGCUGCUACUUUCUGGCCUGGGAAGCCCCUGUCUCUUCCCCCACAGGGUCCUCUUCCUUUUCCUUCGGGUAGGGAGGGAAUGAAACGGUUGCCCCCAACAACCGCGGCAGCCCGCUCACCAACAUCGGCCCUGGACGGGUGCGGGGCGCGGAGAGCGGAGGCGGGGUGCGCUCGGGCUGGCUGUCGCCUACGCGGCGAGCUGGCAGGCUGCUGCCCCUGCAGUCGGGGAGCGGGAGGGGGCGGGGAGCGGGAGGGGGCGGAGCCCGGGGCGUGCGCACCGCAUCCGGGGCCACUCAGCGCAUGCAGUCCUUUGCUGGGGGCUUCGGGGGCGGCGCAGCUGAGCUCACGGAGUUCCCGGGCGGUGCGCCGGUGCCCGUGAGGAUGGCCUGGGUUGCGGGUGGCAUGCUCGCCGGUGGGCCCGGGCUCACUUGUAAGCGGCAGCGGCACUUGCGCCUCCCUGGGGGGCCGCCCCGUAGGCGCCGCUGAGGCCAAGAACUGACAGUACGCUCUCCCCACUCAAACCCGGAUCAUGACGGUCCCCAAGGAGAUGCCCGAGAAGUGGGCCCGGGCCGGGGCACCACCCUCUUGGAGCCGAAAGAAGCCUUCUUGGGGGACAGGUAACGGGAGGCAGCAUCUUGCAGCUCUCCCGAGCCCAUAAUUUCCUCCUCUCCAAUCCCUAUAUUCCCUUGUCCUGUGCCUCCCCAGUCUUCCCCCAUCCUCUUUCUAGACCCAGAGAUCCUGGCUCUAAAGUGUCGAGUCCCUACCUCCUUCCUUUGCAUGGCCUCUGGUGAUUGCGUAGGGUCUCAGCACGAGGAGGCUUCUCUAGGGGAAGUUUUUGGGAAUAAAGUGGCUCAGUAGGCUGGCGACACUGUGGCCUGAGAUUUUGUUACUGCAGUGUGCUCUGCAAGGGUCUUGGGGGAAGGGGCCUGGAACACUGCCUUUGGCUUUCUUGCAGGUUUAAGACAUUAGGUUUAUAGUCUGGUCAAAUCCCCCCUCCCCUUACAGCAUGAGAUCAAAGUGACCCCUGGAAUGUGGGGAACCCUUCAUAGGACAUUCCCUUGUUCUGGAACCUGAACUUGGUGGUUGCAGUUGGGAACCUGCAAGGGGUAGCUAAAUAGAUGUCACUGAGUGAGCAGUUUAAGGGAAACAUGUAGAUGGUACAGAAAAGGUUACAGUUAGAAAGCAACUGUUUCCAUUACAUCUCAUUCCUCUCUCUUGCAUCUCUGCUUCAGUCUGCAUGACCCAUAUCCCUGACUCCCCCACCUUCUUCUACUUGAAGAUGAGCUUUGAAAUAAGGUGAUGUCAUUGUUGGCCAGUCAGAAGCUGCUGCUGGUGACAUGUGACAACCAGAGGCUCCUGUAGGGGGACUGCACGUGGGGCUGGGAUGUUGCCGCAGAGCAGCUCCAGGGCAGCAGAGCAGCUCCAGGGCACAGUGACCCUCUGUCUUGCCACUCCCCACUUCCACCCCAUUAGUCCCCAGUGUAGGGGGAGAGCAGCAGUCCCAUGGUUAGAUCUGCAGUAGUUUCUAGGGGGAAGGAUGCUUUCUUUGUGUCUUCAGCUGCUACUCCUUGAUUAUGAUGAUAGCAGCCAAAGGGUCUGGGGACUCCAUGACCAUCAAUGGCUAAGGCUCUUCCAGAAGGGGAGGACAGAAGAACUGAGUGCUCCCAGUAGAAGAUUAUUGGUGGUGAGGAAGAGAACCUAUCCUGUCCUUUGAAUGUAACUUGCAGAACCAUGUGGUUAUGCUGUUGGUGCAAGCUGGACUAGAGGGAAGAAUUUAAUGACACCUCAGGUGUGGAGCUAAUGCCAUAAAACUAUUUGGUGAAAAGAAACAGGGACCUUUGGUGGAAUGUCCAUAAAGUAGGAUGGACCUGACAAGGUGGGGGUGCAGGCCUCAGUUUGCUGUUCCUAACUGUAGCAUCAUUCUGUUGUAGAAGAAGAAAGGAG
rnacentral:lncRNA from 1 species